rnacentral:rRNA from 1 species
UACGGGGGGAGCAAGCGUUGUUCGGAUUUACUGGGCGUAAAGGGCGCGUAGGCGGUCAGCACAAGUCAGUUGUGAAAUCUCCGGGCUUAACUCGGAAAGGUCAACUGAUACUGUGCGACUAGAGUGCGGAAGGGGCAACUGGAAUUCUCGGUGUAGCGGUGAAAUGCGUAGAUAUCGAGAGGAACACCUGCGGCGAAGGCGGCGUCCUGGCUCGCAUCUGACGCUCAGACACGACAGCAUGGGGAGCGAACGGG